rnacentral:lncRNA from 1 species
AACAUGUUGAGAUGUUACAACCUCAAGAAAGCAACAGACCUCUUACCUUUCAGUGAAGGCGAUUAAAAAGAAGACGGGAGACAGGAACAUCUGCUUUCUUUACACUGACAGUGACUACAUCAGCAGGAAGACGACAGGUCUGCAGGACCCCAAAAGCCCCCCAAGCAGCAGGUUUACCGUGAGCCUGCUGAUUUACAGAACAGGUCCAUCC